rnacentral:rRNA from 1 species
UGCAGUCGAGCGAUCGAUGGGAGCUUGCUCCCUGAGAUUAGCGGCGGACGGGUGAGUAACACGUGGGCAACCUGCCUAUAAGACUGGGAUAACUUCGGGAAACCGGAGCUAAUACCGGAUACGUUCUUUUCUCGCAUGAGAGAAGAUGGAAAGACGGUUUUGCUGUCACUUAUAGAUGGGCCCGCGGCGCAUUAUCUAGUUGGUGAGGUAAUGGCUCACCAAGGCGACGAUGCGUAGCCGACCUGAGAGGGUGAUCGGCCACACUGGGACUGAGACACGGCCCAGACUCCUACGGGAGGCAGCAGUAGGGAAUCUUCCGCAAUGGACGAAAGUCUGACGGAGCAACGCCGCGUGAACGAAAAAAGCCUUCGGGUCGUAAAGUUCUGUUGUUAGGGAAGAACAAGUACCAGAGUAACUGCUGGUACCUUGACGGUACCUAACCAGAAAGCCACGGCUAACUACGUGCCAGCAGCCGCGGUAAUACGUAGGUGGCAAGCGUUGUCCGGAAUUAUUGGGCGUAAAGCGCGCGCAGGUGGUUCUUUAAGUCUGAUGUGAAAGCCCACGGCUCAACCGUGGAGGGUCAUUGGAAACUGGGGAACUUGAGUGCACAAAAGGAAAGUGGAAUUCCAAGUGUAUCGGUGAAAUGCGUAGAGAUUUGGAGGAACACCAGUGGCGAAAGCGACUUUCUGGUCUGUAACUGACACUGAGGCGC